UUACCUUGCCCCAUAGCCUUGCCCCACUGCAGUGCCCCAUAGCCGUGCCCCAUAGCAGUGCCCCAUAGCCUUGCCCCAUAGCAGUGUCCCAUAACUUUGCCCCCAGCAGCACCCCAUAGCCGUGCCCCAUGGCCAUGCCCCGUGGCCGUGCCCCAUAGCCGUGCCCCAUAGCCGUGCCCCAUAGCCUUGCCCCCAGCAGCGCCCCAUAGCCGUGCCCCAUAGCUGUGCCCCAUAGCCGUGCCCCACAGCCGUGCCCCAGCAGCGCCGCUGUCCCCGCAGCGCACGCGUAAGCGCCGUAACCGCAAGAAGAAGAAGCGGGCGCGGGCGGCGCGGGACGGGGGGGCAGCGCCGGGGGCAGCGGCCGACGGGGACCGGGACCGGGAGCGGGAGCAGGAGCGGGCCGGAACCGGAACCGGAACCGGAACCGGAACCGGGACCGGAACCACCCCCCCCGUGGAGAUCGAGUACGUGACCGAGGAGCCCGAGAUCUACGACCCCAACUUCGUCUUCUUCAAGAGGAUCUUCGAGGCGUUCA
rnacentral:lncRNA from 1 species